UGGGGAAUAUUGCACAAUGGGCGAAAGCCUGAUGCAGCAACGCCGCGUGAGUGAUGAAGGCCUUCGGGUUGUAAAGCUCUGUCUUUUGGGACGAUAAUGACGGUACCAAAGGAGGAAGCCACGGCUAACUACGUGCCAGCAGCCGCGGUAAUACGUAGGUGGCAAGCGUUGUCCGGAUUUACUGGGCGUAAAGGAUGCGUAGGCGGAUUUUUAAGUGGAGAUGACUGAAACCUAAGCUACUUGGGGACUGCAUUUCAUACUGGAAAUCUAGAGUGCGGGAGAGGAGAAUGGAAUUCCUAGUGUAGCGGUGAAAUGCGUAGAGAUUAGGAAGAACACCAGUGGCGAAGGCGAUUCUCUGGACCGUAACUGACGCUGAGGCAUGAAAGCGUGGGUAGCAAACAGGAUUAGAUACCCUGGUAGUCCACGCCGUAAACGAUGAGUACUAGGUGUAGGAGGUAUCGACCCCUUCUGUGCCGCAGUUAACACAAUAAGUACUCCGCCUGGGAAGUACGAUCGCAAGAUU
rnacentral:rRNA from 1 species